AUGUUUCCUGUAGCUGUGCUGCUGCUGUUGGCAGCUGGAUCAUAUGUGAAGUGUGACACUUUGACGCAGCCAGCCUCUGUGACUGUGCAGCCAGGUCAACCUCUGACCAUCAACUGCCAGGUCUCUUAUUCUCUCAACAGCUACCGCACACAUUGGAUCAGACAGCCUGCAGGAAAAGGACUGGAGUGGAUUGGAAGUGGUGCUGGAUCAUCAAGCACAUACUAUAAAGAUUCACUAAAGAACAAGUUCAGUAUCGACGUAGACACUUCCAGCAAAACAGUGACUCUAAAGGGACAGAACGUGCAGCCUGGAGACACUGCUGUGUAUUACUGUGCCAGAGACACACAAUUAUACAAACCAUCAGCCUACCUGAACAAAAACCCCUCAGUGAAAACACCUGGAGAGACCGUGAAGAUGUCAUGUGUCAUAUCUGGGAUUGACAUGUCAUCUGUCUAUAUAGCCUGGAUACGGCAGAGGCCGGGGGAAGGUUUGGAGUGGAUCGGGCGGAUGAACGCAGGUUCAAACUCUGCCAUCUAUGGCAGCUCCUUUCAAAACCGUUUCAUCAUGACUGAGGAUGUUUCCAGCAGCACUCAGUUCCUUCAGGUCAAGAGUCUGACAGCAGAAGAUGCUGCUGUUUACUUCUGUGCUCGAGACCCACAGUGA